rnacentral:rRNA from 1 species
GAUCAUGGCUCAGGAUGAACGCUAGCGGCAGGCCUAAUACAUGCAAGUCGAACGGGGUCCUUCGGGCCCGAGUGGCGCACGGGUGCGUAACGCGUAUGCAACCUACCUUCAACUGGGGGAUAGCCCGGAGAAAUCCGGAUUAAUACCGCAUAACACAACUUGAUGGCAUCUGAGGGUUGUUAAAGAUUUAUCGGUUGGAGAUGGGCAUGCGUGCCAUUAGCUAGUUGGUGGGGUAACGGCCCACCAAGG